UACGUAGGGUGCAAGCGUUGUUCGGAUUUAUUGGGCGUAAAGGGUGCGUAGGCGGCGGAGUAAGUUGGGUGUGAAAUCCCGGGGCUCAACCUCGGAAUUGCAUUCAAUACUGCUUCGCUCGAGUACUGGAGAGGAGACUGGAAUUUACGGUGUAGCAGUGAAAUGCGUAGAUAUCGUAAGGAAGGCCGGUGGCGAAAGCGAGUCUCUGGACAGUUACUGACGCUGAUGCACGAAGGCCAGGGGAGCAAACGGG
rnacentral:rRNA from 1 species